UCAGGAUGAACGCUGGCGGCGUGCCUAACACAUGCAAGUCGAGCGAUCUCUCGGAGAAGAGCGGCGGACGGGUGAGUAACGCGUGGGUAACCUGCCUCAUACACAUGGAUAACAUACCGAAAGGUAUGCUAAUACAGGAUAACAUAAGAGAUUCACAUGGAUUUCUAUCAAAGCUCCGGCGGUAUGAGAUGGACCCGCGUCUGAUUAGCUAGUUGGUAAGGUAACGGCUUACCAAGGCGACGAUCAGUAGCCGACCUGAGAGGGUGAUCGGCCACAUUGGAACUGAGACACGGUCCAAACUCCUACGGGAGGCAGCAGUGGGGAAUAUUGCACAAUGGGCGAAAGCCUGAUGCAAGCAACGCCGCGUGAGUGAUGAAGGCUUUCGGGUCGUAAAACUCUGUCCUCAAGGAAGAUAAUGACGGUACUUGAGGAGGAAGCCCCGGCUAACUACGUGCCAGCAGCAGC
rnacentral:rRNA from 1 species